rnacentral:rRNA from 1 species
AAGUGGAGAAGGGUUCCAUGUGAACAGCAGUUGAACAUGGGUCAGUCGGUCCUAAGGGAUGGGCGAACGCCGUUCCGAAGGGUGGGGCGAUGGCCUCCGUCGCCCCCGGCCGAUCGAAAGGGAGUCGGGUUCAGAUCCCCGAACCCGGAGUGGCGGAGAUAGGCGCCGCGAGGCGUCCAGUGCGGUAACGCAAACGAACCCGGAGACGCUGGCGGGGGCCCCGGGAAGAGUUCUCUUUUCUUUGUGAAGGGCAGGGCGCCCUGGAAUGGGUUCACCCCGAGAUAGGGGCCCACGCCCUGGAAAGCGCCGCGGUUCUGGCGGCGUCCGGUGAGCUCUCGCUGGCCCUUGAAAAUCCGGGGGAGAGGGUGUAAAUCUCGCGCCGGGCCGUACCCAUAUCCGCAGCAGGUCUCCAAGGUGAACAGCCUCUGGCAUGUUGGAACAUGUAGGUAAGGGAAGUCGGCAAGUCAGAUCCGUAACUUCGGGAUAAGGAUUGGCUCU